CCGUUCUGUAAGCCUGCGAAGGUGUGCUGUGAGGCAUGCUGGAGGUAUCAGAAGUGCGAAUGCUGACAUAAGUAACGAUAAAGCGGGUGAAAAGCCCGCUCGCCGGAAGACCAAGGGUUCCUGUCCAACGUUAAUCGGGGCAGGGUGAGUCGACCCCUAAGGCGAGGCCGAAAGGCGUAGUCGAUGGGAAACAGGUUAAUAUUCCUGUACUUGGUGUUACUGCGAAGGGGGGACGGAGAAGGCUAUGUUGGCCGGGCGACGGUUGUCCCGGUUUAAGCGUGUAGGCUGGUUUUCCAGGCAAAUCCGGAAAAUCAAGGCUGAGGCGUGAUGACGAGGCACUACGGUGCUGAAGCAACAAAUGCCCUGCUUCCAGGAAAAGCCUCUAAGCAUCAGGUAACAUCAAAUCGUACCCCAAACCGACACAGGUGGUCAGGUAGAGAAUACCAAGGCGCUUGAGAGAACUCGGGUGAAGGAACUAGGCAAAAUGGUGCCGUAACUUCGGGAGAAGGCACGCUGAUAUGUAGGUGAAGCGACUUGCUCGUGGAGCUGAAAUCAGUCGAAGAUACCAGCUGGCUGCAACUGUUUAUUAAAAACACAGCACUGUGCAAACACGAAAGUGGACGUAUACGGUGUGACGCCUGCCCGGUGCCGGAAGGUUAAUUGAUGGGGUUAGCGCAAGCGAAGCUCUUGAUCGAAGCCCCGGUAAACGGCGGCCGUAACUAUAACGGUCCUAAGGUAGCGAAAUUCCUUGUCGGGUAAGUUCCGACCUGCACGAAUGGCGUAAUGAUGGCCAGGCUGUCUCCACCCGAGACUCAGUGAAAUUGAACUCGCUGUGAAGAUGCAGUGUACCCGCGGCAAGACGGAAAGACCCCGUGAACCUUUACUAUAGCUUGACACUGAACAUUGAGCCUUGAUGUGUAGGAUAGGUGGGAGGCUUAGAAGUGUGGACGCCAGUCUGCAUGGAGCCGACCUUGAAAUACCACCCUUUAAUGUUUGAUGUUCUAACGUUGACCCGUAAUCCGGGUUGCGGACAGUGUCUGGUGGGUAGUUUGACUGGGGCGGUCUCCUCCUAAAGAGUAACGGAGGAGCACGAAGGUUGGCUAAUCCUGGUCGGACAUCAGGAGGUUAGUGCAAUGGCAUAAGCCAGCUUGACUGCGAGCGUGACGGCGCGAGCAGGUGCGAAAGCAGGUCAUAGUGAUCCGGUGGUUCUGAAUGGAAGGGCCAUCGCUCAACGGAUAAAAGGUACUCCGGGGAUAACAGGCUGAUACCGCCCAAGAGUUCAUAUCGACGGCGGUGUUUGGCACCUCGAUGUCGGCUCAUCACAUCCUGGGGCUGAAGUAGGUCCCAAGGGUAUGGCUGUUCGCCAUUUAAAGUGGUACGCGAGCUGGGUUUAGAACGUCGUGAGACAGUUCGGUCCCUAUCUGCCGUGGGCGCUGGAGAACUGAGGGGGGCUGCUCCUAGUACGAGAGGACCGGAGUGGACGCAUCACUGGUGUUCGGGUUGUCAUGCCAAUGGCACUGCCCGGUAGCUAAAUGCGGAAGAGAUAAGUGCUGAAAGCAUCUAAGCACGAAACUUGCCCCGAGAUGAGUUCUCCCUGACCCUUUAAGGGUCCUGAAGGAACGUUGAAGACGACGACGUUGAUAGGCCGGGUGUGUAAGCGCAGCGAUGCGUUGAGCUAACCGGUACUAAUGAACCGUGAGGCUU
rnacentral:rRNA from 1 species